rnacentral:rRNA from 1 species
GACGAACGCUGGCGGCGUGCUUAACACAUGCAAGUCGAACGGAAAGGCCCUGCUUUUGUGGGGUGCUCGAGUGGCGAACGGGUGAGUAACACGUGAGUAACCUGCCCUUGACUUUGGGAUAACUACAGGAAACUGGGGCUAAUACCGGAUAGGAGCUCCUGCUGCAUGGUGGGGGUUGGAAAGUUUCGGCGGUUGGGGAUGGACUCGCGGCUUAUCAGCUUGUUGGUGGGGUAGUGGCUUACCAAGGCUUUGAUGGGUAGCCGGCCUGAGAGGGUGACCGGCCACAUUGGGACUGAGAUACGGCCCAGACUCCUACGGGAGGCAGCAGUGGGGAAUAUUGCACAAUGGGCGGAAGCCUGAUGCAGCAACGCCGCGUGCGGGAUGACGGCCUUCGGGUUGUAAACCGCUUUCGCCUGUGACGAAGCGUGAGUGACGGUAAUGGGUAAAGAAGCACCGGCUAACUACGUG